rnacentral:rRNA from 1 species
UACGUAGGGGGCAAGCGUUGUCCGGAAUCAUUGGGCGUAAAGCGCGCGUAGGCGGCCCGGUAAGUCCGCUGUAAAAGUCCAGGGCUCAACCCUGGAAAGCCGGUGGAUACUGUCGGGCUAGAGUCCGGAAGAGGCGAGUGGAAUUCCUGGUGUAGCGGUGAAAUGCGUAGAUAUCAGGAGGAACACCGGUGGUGUAGACGGCUCUCUGGACCGUAACUGACGCUGAGACACGAAAGCGUGGGUAGCAAACAGG